AACGAACGCUGGCGGCAUGCUUAACACAUGCAAGUCGAGCGGAGUCAGUAAGAGGAAGUUUUCGGAUGGAAUCUUAUUGAUUUAGCGGCGGACGGGUGAGUAACGCGUGAGCGACCAACCUUGCACAGGGGGAUAACGGACCGAAAGGUUCACUAAUACCGCACGAGACCACGGUGUUGCAUGACACAGUGGUCAAAGGAGCAAUCCGGUGCAAGACGGGCUCGCGUCCGAUUAGGUAGUUGGAGGGGUAACGGCCCACCAAGCCUAUGAUCGGUAGCCGACCUGAGAGGGUGAUCGGCCGCAUUGGAACUGAGAUACGGUCCAAACUCCUACGGGAGGCAGCAGUGGGGAAUAUUGGGCAAUGGGGGAAACCCUGACCCAGCAACGCCGCGUGAAGGAAGAAGGUUUUCGGAUUGUAAACUUCUGUCCUUGGUGAAGAGAAGAAGACGGUAGCCAAGGAGGAAGCCCCGGCUAACUACGUGCCAGCAGCCGCGGUAA
rnacentral:rRNA from 1 species